rnacentral:lncRNA from 1 species
CUGAUUGAUUGGUGCAGUUUCCCGAAAGUCUCAAUUUGACAAGAAAAAAAAAAAAUUAGCCAGAACAAAAGGCCAUUGAUAACAGUUUGGACAAGGGAGAGGCGGAGGUGAGCUCAUCUGGUGUGUGAAGAAGGUGGAAAAGUCCCUGGAAUAGAAAAAGUGAGUGAAAAAAAAAUUUAGCCACCAAUAUCUUCACUGCUGCAAAAAAAAUGGAGUUAAUUCAGUGGAUUGGGAUAAGCAUAUGUGUUCAGUCUGUGAACUGAGCUCCAUUCCAUUUUUAUUUCCACUUCCAUCUAUCUGUUAAUCCAAACUCUUGGAAUUCUCUAGAUCUUUUUCAUGAUAUUGAAAACAAAAACAACAAAAUAGAACCCAAACCACAAAAGGAGAUGCCUCUUGAAAAGGAAAGUUCUGCCUGUUCUUGCCAUGGGUAGAUGCAUGGCCCAGUCUGGGGCACCAGCUGCCAUGUGGUUCCCCGCAGGUUGGGUCCAAGCGCAGGCUCUGGCACAACCCUUGUAUGCUUGGCAUCUGGUUAGCAUCUCCUUGGGCUUGUGUAAUGCUCCUGAUAGGUAUUUUGAGGUUUCAAAAUACUUCCCCCCCCCCCUUUUUUUUUUUUUUUUUUUUUUUUGUCUUCUUGAGACAGGGUCUCCCUGUAGCCCCAGCUGGCCUGGAACUCACUAUAUAGACCAGGCUGGCCUUGAACUCACAGAGAUCCGCCUGUCUCUGCCUCCCAAGUGCUGGGACUACGGGCAUGCACCACCACGCCGGGAACCCUUUCCUAUUUUUAAAACUUAGAAAAUCCAUAAUACUAUUUGACAAAAAUAAAAAAUAAAACAACCGUGUGUUUUUAAAUUUUAUCUUUGACUUCUGUCCCAUUUACUUUGCUUUGUGACUUCACCGUUUAACAAUAAAUUAUCUAAAACAAAACACAAGGAUGCU